rnacentral:ncRNA from 1 species
GAUCAAGCGUCUUAAGUGCAUCUAGUGGAUGCCUUGGCGUGCACAGGCGAUGAAGGACGUAAUACGCUGCGAUAAGCGUCGGGGAGCUGCGAAUAAGCUUUGAUCCGAUGAUUUCCGAAUGGGGAAACCCGACCAUUUAGGUCACCCGAAAGGGAGCUAACCUGGGGAACUGAAACAUCUAAGUACCCAGAGGAAAGGACAUCAAAAGAGACUCCGUUAGUAGUGGCGAGCGAACGCGGACCAGGCCAGUGGCCUCUUUGUAAGAACGGGAACAACAUGGAAAUGUUGGCCAUAGUGGGUGAUAGCCCCGUACCGGUAGAAAGCAUUGAGGUCCUCGAGUAAGGCGGAACACGUGAAAUUCUGUCUGAACAUGGGUAGACCACUAUCCAAGCCUAAGUACUCGUGCACGACCGAUAGCGAACAAGUACCGUGAGGGAAAGGUGAAAAGCACCCCGACGAGGGGAGUGAAAUAGUUCCUGAAACUGGAUGCAUACAAACAGUCGGAGCCCGCAAGGGUGACGGCGUACCUCUUGUAUAAUGGGUCAUCGACUUAGUCUAACUAGCAAGCUUAAGCCGUUAGGUGUAGGCGCAGCGAAAGCGAGUCUGAAUAGGGCGUUAAGUUAGUUGGAUUAGACCCGAAACCAAGUGAUCUAGGUAUGAGCAGGCUGAAGGUAAGGUAACACUUACUGGAGGGCCGAACCCACGUAAGUUGAAAAUUACGGGGAUGACUUGUUCCUAGGGGUGAAAGGCCAAUCAAACUUGGAAAUAGCUGGUUCUCCGCGAAAGAUAUUUAGGUAUCGCCUCAGACGAAUACUCGGGGGUAGAGCACUGGAUGGGCUAGGGGGUCUCACCGACUUACCAAACCUAACCAAACUCCGAAUACCCAGAAGUACUACUCGGGAGACAGACGGUGGGUGCUAAGGUCCAUCGUCAAAAGGG